GACGAACGCUGGCGGCGUGCUUAACACAUGCAAGUCGAACGGAAAGGCCCUGCUUUUGUGGGGUGCUCGAGUGGCGAACGGGUGAGUAACACGUGAGUAACCUGCCCUUGACUUUGGGAUAACUUCAGGAAACUGGGGCUAAUACCGGAUAGGAGCUCCUGCUGCAUGGUGGGGGUUGGAAAGUUUCGGCGGUUGGGGAUGUACUCGCGGCUUAUCAGCUUGUUGGUGGGGUAGUGGCUUACCAAGGCUUUGACGGGUAGCCGGCCUGUGAGGGUUACCGGCCACAUUGGGACUGAGAUACGGCCCAGACUGUUACGGGAGGCAGCAGUGGGGAAUAUUGUACAAUGGGCGGAAGCCUGAUGCAGCAACGCCGCGUGCGGGAUGACGGCCUUCGGGUUGUAAACCGCUUUCGCCUGUGACGAAGCGUGAGUGACGGUAAUGGGUAAAGAAGCACCGGCUAACUACGUG
rnacentral:rRNA from 1 species